rnacentral:sRNA from 1 species
ACCAUUCUCUAUUGUUGGUGUGGACUAC